UACGUAGGGGGCAAGCGUUGUCCGGAUUUAUUGGGCGUAAAGAGCUCGUAGGUGGUUCGGUAAGUCGGAUGUGAAAUCUCCAGGCUCAACCUGGAGGGGUCAUUCGAUACUGCCGUGACUAGAGGUCGGUAGGGGAGUGUGGAAUUCCUGGUGGAGCGGUGAAAUGCGCAGAGAUGUGGAGGAACACCGAUGGCGAAGGCAGCCUCCUGGGCCAGCACUGACGCUCAUGCACGAAAGCGUGGGGAGCAAACAGG
rnacentral:rRNA from 1 species